CUGGGGGGCGCCUCCCCGCAGACCCGGAGCGCGCGGGUGGAGCGCGUUUCGGCGCGCGGGGCGGGUCCCUGGCGGCUCUCCGCAGGCGGGUGCGAGGCGCCGGGAGGCCCCUCCCGCUCCUUCUCGUCCCACUACGUUCACUGCCAGUCCUCCCCCACAGUUCUAUCAUAUGGUUCCCUGACCAGGAACAGCAGACGAGAGACUCCUGGGGCUGGUUCUCAGUUUUGGGUCCCCUGCUGUUCAGGACCAGGACCGGACUGCAUCCUGCAUUAAUUCCUCACUUCUACACUCAGGAGCUGUAAGUUUGUCACUACCAGUUCACAAACAACACCAACCAAAUUUACCACAGCCCUCACAGGAAAUGUCGACACUGCCAGAUUCAUCACUGACAGAAAAUUGCUGCCGAAGACUGAGAGAGCUCAGGGCCAGCAGCCCCCUUUGUGGGUGUCCGUCUCAGAGUUCAAGUUCCACUAAAACUCCCAGGUAAGACAUUUUCUAUAUUUGUGGACAUAGAGGCCAUAUAUACAGAGUUCUUCCUGAGUUUUCAGGCUGCUAUAUUAAGUCCUCAAUCUCUAUGAUGGGUUAUUGAUGUCAACCUAUGCCAUUUAUAAACAGGGCUUAUUUCGUGCAGGUCCCAGUCCUAAAUCUUAAAAUGCUUUCACUCCCUUGUUUUUAUGCAGGCUCACUUAGACACACUGAGUCCUCAGCAGCUUCCACCUGUUUUCACUGGUGGACCUCUCCUCAGUGAUAUAAGACCACCCCCUUCCUUUCUUAUUCACCAAUUUCUCAGGUAACCCUGGUCAAGACUGACAGAUACAUUUUGUCUUCUCACUUUGUUUAUACUUUUUCAGGACACAUAAAAGCCUUUCCCACAACCAGGUAAACUGCUGAUACAACCGGAUUACAGCGACCCAUGCCUAAAUCAAAGCUGCUAGGCUGCCAUCUGGUUUCAUAUCACUCAGGCUAAGAGGUGCCCUUCCAGCCCUAAAUCUGAUCACUCUGAGUGGUCAUCUCAUCUUCUGUCACCCACCUGUCUCCAUUUCAUGAAGGCCUUGCAGCCACAGUUAACAGGCUAAGUCAUGUUUUGUUAUCCACUUUGGUUCCUAAUUUCUUACGUUCUAUUAAUGAUCAUUUUUGCAGCAGGACUCUUGACAGUCUUUCCCAAAGACUCCCACAUCAUGCGUAAGAUAAUCUUCAUAAUGUUCUAUGUGAUGACUGUCGUAGUUCUUUCUACCUCAGCUGUCUGGUUAAACGUGACAUCCCUAAAAGCCUAAGCCCUUACUUUCCCUAUACUGGUAGAGCCACCACCUUCCUACUCCCCUUAUUUUUUCCAGUUCAACUCUUAAACCAGAGACAAGUUUUACACACCUACCCUCUUAAGUUUUAUGCUUUCAGAUGGGGGAGUAAUCACCUCUCAUAACAACAUUUCUCCUAACCUCACACUUAAUUUUCAGAAUUCUGCCUUACCGUGGAACAUGUCUAAAUCAAAGGCACCUUUCCCUCUACCUCACCUGGGUCUUAAAUAUGACAGUGCCAUGUCUCCUCAUAACAUCUUGUCUCUUUGUUUUUCCAGUCUAACAUACAUACAUUCACCAGUGAAGUUGUCCUGGCUAAAACACCUGGCACCAGCUUCUAUCUGGGCAUUAACCAUCAUCCUGUCAACUCCCCUAGACCCCAGUACAGUGCCCUCAGCCAGUAGUAAGUAGUUAAAGAGAGAAAUCUUUGCCCCUUUUCAUAAUAAUAAUCAUAAGAUGGGAUAUGAAAGAGUUUUGGCCCAGGCCGGACUCUGUAGUCAGGAAAGCCUCAACCGGAAGCAGGAAGCCCCUCUCUCCCCCGCCCCUAGGAAUUUACCUGUGACACCAUCUUCCCGCCCCUGGGAAUUUACCUAUGGCACCAAACCUAGGACCAAUGGGCUACCUGUGUAUCCCUAAUGCCUCCCUUAGGUUCCACCCCAAACCGAGGCUACUUAUGUGCCUCACUCCAUGUGUUCCACGGAGAUCGCUGACCCCGGGGUGGAGAUGCCAUGCCCCAGGGGAUUGGGGUGUCUCUCCCUGCAUUCUCAAAAUAAAGGUCAUUUAUAUUUCAUACUUCUUAUCUUUUCAGCCGCCACCGGUCCUUCCCCACAGUUCUGUCACUCUUUAUGAUGAUCAUUCAGAGUGAUUUCUCCAAAGGUCACUAGGUCACCAAGUCUGUAAAUUACAAUCUACUUUGACCCAGGACAUUGUGUGCAGAUGCAGUUUUACAUGAAAAAUUGGAAAUGUAAGUCAAUAGAGAAAUAUACAAAUCAGUGCAAUGGUGAGUUUUAAAGUCAAGCUUAAAGUUCAAAUGGAAUUCACCCAGAAGCAGUAAAAAUUUUUUAAUUGAACUUUGAGAUUUUAUGCUGGCCUUGAUAAAUAAGGUUCUUUUUUGUUUAACCUUUACUCAUCUGUACUACCAUUGAACACUGUAAAAAAGACUGAAAGACCGCAGAAACUUAAAAGUAGAAUAUUCAACAUUUUAGCCCUCCAGGAGUAACCCUGAGAAAAUUAAAACUAUCUAUCUCCCCCUCACAUGUGCUUGCAGGGUCUCUGUUUACUUAGUAACACCUGAUUUUUAAGCAGAUAUGUUGUGUGGUGUCUUAUACAGGUAUAAUUUUAUUAACUAGUCCUCCAUAUGUGGACAUUUAGGUUAUGAAAUAUUAUAUUGAGAAACAGCAAGGUUAAGUCAUAAAUAACUGAAUGCUUACUAAUGUUACAUUGCACUUUUGAACAAAGUCAGAUCUGAAUACUUUCUGUUCUCAUGACUCUUAAUCAAUAGAAAUGCAGGAAAGCAUCAUUAAGAAGGAUCCUGCUUUGUAGAGGACCACCUGAAUGACUCUUGAAAGAAAAGUAAUUGUCUCCAUUUUAGCCAAACCUGGCCCUAUUUCCAUGUAUUGAUAUGUACAGAGCUGGUUAAAUUUUGUCUUUAUCCCCUCAAUUGGCUUUAAUCAAUGCAAAUGGGUCUAGUCAGAUGCUGAUAUGUAGUUGUUAAAACAGUGCAAAGGUCAGUGCAGCUUGUAGCUCUCAAGUAAUUGUGUGAGCAAGGCUGAGUGAUCCCAUGCUGUUGGCAGAGAAUGAGCCUCAAGAAAAGCCAUGACUUCUCAGGACUUGCAAUUAUACAUCAAAACUGAAGCACUGGCCCCAACACUACUGUCCCAAUUUGUGACAUGUAGAUUACACCUUCUGCAUAUCUUUUUCUCUGCAUAUUGCAGAGGUGAAUUCUGGCCUUCCUCCCUGGCCCAGCUCACAGCACUUAUGUACUUCAUGCUGCUCUCGGGUCACUCACCCCUGAGCCACUCCCUUCCUCACGAAUCCCGUUUUGGCCCUAGGUCAAGACCUUUGUACCAAUUAGUCAUUAUUCUGUCUGGCUCUAAGACUCCCUUGGCUCCCCCAGCAUCUUGGAUAUGUAUUUGUGUCAUGGGUUGCACUGGAAGUGGUAGAUUGGAAUUAAGUUGCUAGAAUAUCAAUAACUUUUCCUUGGGAUUACAAAUGAAAGCUUCACCAACCGUGAUGAGGUCUGGGAAGGGCUUUCUAUAGUGUUCAUUCCUGUUCUUCCCAGGUUCAUUGUGUGCUUUAAUUCUGUUCCAUGUGUCUCUCAUUCUUUUCUUGGGAACCAGUUGCCAGCAAUAAGUAGCAGAGCAUCAGAGGCUGUACUCAAGACUUUGAGCACAAUUCUGGGUCACAUCUCCUAAUGUUCUUUCCAUCAAAGAAAAUAUCAUGAGAAACUCAAAGUCCAUGGAUGCGUAAUACACUCCCUAAUUCAUGAAAAGUAUUAUAAAAUGUAAAAGGAUGAGAGAGAGAGAGAGAGAGAGAGAGAGAGAGAGGAAGAAGAGGAGGAGAAAGGGGAGGAAGGGGAGGAGGAAAUUCAUUUCACCAUCCCCUUUUUCAACUCUCACUGCAACCCCACCCCACGCCACCUGGGGAAAGGUGUUUCUCUCUUCCCUGAACUCAGCCAGCUCCUUCCCUCUCUGAGGCUGUUUGCACUAUAUUACACUCUGCUAUCAAUGUACUGGUAGCUUUAGCACUUCAAUUUUCCUUUCCAGAGGACUCCAGUGACAUGAUAGCUGUUCUUUACCUUUAAUUUUUUUCAGUCCUUUAUUUUAUUUUAUUUUUAAUGAUCUAAACCCUUAGAGCAUCCACUGACUUAAGGAUAGAUCUGAAAGCCUUCAGAUUCACCUUCAAAUCAAUAAAAAACUUUUAUUUUCCUUCAGUACUGUGAAACCUGCCAAAAGAUAAAAAACUAAUUAAUUUGCUUUGCAUUUGCUCAAUAGAAAUAAUGGGCAGGAGGCAACAAAUGAGAAAUAAAUUUAAUAGAACUUUGAAAAUUGGGAAUUAAGAUGAAUUGGAUUCGGUGCAUAUCUGAAUUUAACAGCUUUUAUUUUCUAAGGCUUUUAAGCUAAUUUUAUUUUUCUUUUGUUAUAUCAUGACAUGCAGGGCAGUCAGUGGACUGUGAAUUUGCCUAAUGUACUACAGACAUCAUGUGGAGUAGCCCCUAACUCUGCAAAGAGGAAAAGGGCAAACAUAAAUGCAGGCUUUGGGGUGCUAGAUCCAGGAGACCCUCUGCUCUCAGGUUCAUGGGUGAGGGUAACUGGUUGGGGGAGUGGGACUCAAGUCAUUGUACUUUUUGCUUAUGAGAGAAGGGAAGGAGAAAGGGACUGGGGCUUUGGGAAGAAGUUCUGCUGCUUCCUUCUUCCACAGGGGUAGGGGAAGAUUCAGGAACCACUUUUCUGGUGGGAUAGGAGGAGAGAGAGGCUUGCCAACCAUGCCCCGUGGACCCAAAAUAAUAGGGCAGGGCUGUCUGCACAGCUCAGGAGCACAUCAUGGUUGUCAUCAUGAUGAACAUUAUGGCGGCGGUUAGCAGGUCAGAGUCAGUAGUAAAUGCUUCACCACUUGAGCUCAUGUAGCUCUCACAGGAACCCUGGCAGUAAGGACUGUCAUCAUUUUCAAGUUAAAAAUGAGUUCAUGGAGAAGUAGACAGCUGUUGAAGGAGUCACCCAGGAAGUGAGACAUUUGAGCUUAAGUGCGUCUGACAGUGGUCCUUGUGUGCUUAACCAUUAAGCUCCACUGCCUACAGCAGAGGGAUGAAGAAUCCUGGCGAGAGGCACUAAAUCCUGAAAGACUUGGGAUGAUUUUGGAGUACAGAGCUCAGUGGUAAAAUGUAAGUUCCCCCAUAAGUAACCAAGAUUUAAAGGUGUAAAAAGAAGCCAAGAAAAAUCCUGGCUUUCUGUUUGAACAGAAGAAAAAGCUGCCUUUUCAUUAGUUGUUGUAACUACUGCUUUGUUACUGGAGAUUGAACCAUGGGCCUUCUCAGUGAGCAAUAUCUCCAUCUAUUUUUAUUUUUUAUAUUUUAUUUUGAUUCAGUGUCUCAUCAAGUUGCUAAAUUGGCCAGGUUGCUCUUGAACUUGCAAUUCUUCUGUUAUACACUAACAAAAAGAGCUUCGUUAUGUUUGUGUUAUGUUUGCCAAUGUCCAAGUUAUAUGACCAAAUUACCUGUAGCACUGUCACACUGUUCUGUAUGAGCCAUCUUCCUGGGUGACCUAAUUGAUAUGUUAACCAUUGCUCCCCUCUGCAAAGGACUGUAAAUUCCUGGGAAUCUGAACUAAUUGAUAUGUUAAUCAUUGCUGCCCUCUGCAAAGGACAGAUGUUAUCUAAAAUUGAGUGCUAAAAUUAGUUGACAGACGAUUGUAAAUUCCUGAUAGACCUCUCUGUCCUCUGCAAAGGGAAACACAGGUCUUCCUCAUUCCUUAGCGGGUCAAGGACUUCCUUAUUUCCUGAUCUACGCCCAUAAGCCAUUCACUUUGUAAUUGCUCUUUCUUAAAAAAGUCUGUGAAAGUUUUGAGCCAGUUACACAGCUUUGUGAACUCCAACUGCCCUGUGUCCCUGGUAUCAGCCACAAUUUUAAAUCUUCAGCCACAUGGAGUGUUCCAUGCAACACUCGGCCACUGCCAGCACCCUUGCGACCUGGACCUCUUGCCUGCUCAUCCCUGCCACUAUGGAGGACAUGAACAAGUACAGCAUUAUAGAAGAGUUCACCAAGGGGUCUAAGGUCAAUGCAAGCAAGAACUAGCAGGAUGACAGUAAGGUGUUUACUGGAAACUUGAGCUGGAAUACAAGCAAGAAAUAUCUGACUGAAUGUUCCUCUUGAUUUGGGGAAGUUGUAGACCUCACAAUUAAAACAGACCCAGUCACUGUGUAAGACUGGUGUCGCGAAGAAGACCCCAAGGACUCAGCUCUCAUGUAAGAACAAAGGGGUUUUAUUUUCCGUGCGCACGGGGUCCUCCAAACAAGUGGGAAUGGAGAACCCCGUACUCGAGCAGGGCUGUGUCUUUUAAGGCCUAAAACCGCAAAGCAAGCAAGCAUUGUUACAGAAGCCAAUCAUAGCGAUUAGAGCUGGGCUGAUUGUGAGCUGUCCUUAAGGGAUUGGGUUUCUUUGUGGGGCGAGGGGGGUGUCUCCCGAGAAGGGGUGGCACUUCUUAGGAACGGGCGUUUGUCCCAUGACUGAGAAAACAGCCUGUUUAUCUCAAAUGGCCCAGAAACACUGGGUCCUGUGGGGGUGGAGCUGCACAUAGUUUUGAAACUCACACCACGAGGCCUCCUGAAUAGAAAAGUCUAACAGCAAUUAACACCCUUAAUUACCUUACUUUAGCACCACAACCAUUCUAUUUGUAGAGAGCAACAAUGGUUAGCAUAUCAAUUAGGUAAGAUUUUACAAUUCUUUACAGAGGAGAGCAUUGAUUAACAUAUCAAUCCUUUGCCCAGAGGAAAAGGAAGACACACAUUUACAGUAAGGCCAAGUUACAGGUAUUGCUAUGAUAUAAAUGAAGCUACUUUUGUGAAGAAGGUACAAUCUAAUACAAUCUGAUGCAAUUAACACAAUUUGUGACAGGGCUACCGGGUAGGGAAGACCCGGGUUGUCAGGAGCUAUUACCUCAGGCCUUUGUUUUAUGGCCUUUAGGAAGUUAAAACUUAACCUAGUUAGAUUUGAAGGGAGAAGGGGAGGGGAAGCAGCAGAUGGAACGAGCUUUCUUGGUCUCUUCAACUGGAAGACCAAGAGGACUUGGAUUUGUGCUUUUCAAAGAUGUUGCUAGUACUGAUAAAGUUUUGGAACUAAAAGUCCACAAACUAAGUGGCCCAGAAAGGCCAAAGUUUUAAAAGAGAAAGAACCCCCUAAAAACAUGUUAGUGGAUGGAUUGGACCCAGAUACUUCUGAACAAAUUAAAGAAUAUUUUGGGGGAACAGGGACAGCCCAUCCUGGUGCAGGCAUAUACACCAAGCUAGGCAGGAACAGAGACAGCAGGUCGUGGUGCAGGCACACUGGCCUAUGCAGGAACUGUGGAAAAGUCCAAAGCAUCAAUGAGAAGCCAGCAGCUGGUAAAGUAGGUGAGCCAGUGUUGUGCUCUGGCCCAGAAGCAUGUGGAACAGAAGCAGGAAGGGGAUGCCACUUUAUAUCAAAGGGCUCUGGGAGAGCUCGUGCAUUAGAAGACCAGUCUCAGCACCUAUCUCUAGAGGCCAAGAUCAGCACCAUACCCAACACAAAUACCAAGUUGCCUGGAGUACAUAGCACAUUUCUGGGAUCUAACGUGGACACUACCAUAGAACAGGGGACACCAAAGGACUCUACUACUUUUAUUUUCAUGUUUGUCUGAUUGGUUAUUCUUUUUCUGCCUGGUUGGGGGCUUUGGGUUUUUUGGUGAUUAUUUUUGUUUUCUCUUUUACUUUUUUCAUUAUUAUAUUCUUUAUUUUUCACUAUUUGAGUUUCUUACCUUUCUUCUGGGUUUCAUCUACUUAUAUUCAUUCUCUCUUCAAUUAUAUCUUAUUGUUUUUCAUGUGAGUAAACACUGUUUCUUCUCUUUCAGGUUCACUUCAAUACUACAUUUCUCCUUCAUUCUUUCUCUCCUGUGUCCUCCAGUUUUGCAACUGGGUCAGUCUUUGAGUGAUCAUCCCUUGCUCUCCAGCCUUGCUCCUAUUAUAUUUGACCACUUUUGACUCUCUAAUUUGUCUCCCUUUCCUCUAAAUGUCUCCACCCCCCAUAGGGUAAAAUCACUCCACUGAGGGAGAAUUCAUUGCAUACAAGUUCCUGAUAUAUAUUGUGUAUGUUGGAAUUCAUUAUAUAACUGUAGACUUUGCUCCUGUCAUUAAACGUAUCAGGUUAAUAGUUACCACAGUUUGUGAGCAGCUAGGCUGUACUUGAGACUACUGUUACUGCUAAAUAUUAAACUAGCCAGGAUAUCAUAUAUGUUAUAA